AGGCGCAGCGUGGCCGCGGGUGGGCGGAACUGGUCGGGAUGAGUGGCGGAGGGACAGAGACCCCUGUGGGUUGUGAGGCCGCCCCGGGCGGUGGCAGCAAGAAGAGGGACUCCCUGGGGACUGCGGGCUCAGCGCACCUCAUUAUCAAGGAUCUUGGAGAAAUUCAUUCAAGGCUUUUGGAUCACAGACCAGUUAUUCAAGGUGAAACUCGUUAUUUUGUAAAAGAAUUUGAAGAAAAACGUGGUCUUCGAGAAAUGCGAGUUCUUGAAAAUUUGAAGAACAUGAUCCAUGAAACAAAUGAACAUACUCUUCCCAAAUGUAGAGACACAAUGCGGGACAGCCUCAGCCAGGUUCUCCAGAGAUUGCAAGCAGCUAAUGACUCAGUCUGUAGACUCCAACAGAGGGAACAGGAACGAAAAAAGGUGUGGACACUGCCAGCGGCUGCAGCCGACUUGGAAUGACCUGGGAGACAAAUACAACAGCAUGGAAGAUGCCAAAGUCUAUGUGGCUAAAGUGGACUGCACGGCCCACUCCGACGUGUGCUCCGCCCAGGGGGUGCGAGGAUACCCCACCUUAAAGCUUUUCAAGCCAGGCCAAGAAGCUGUGAAGUACCAGGGUCCUCGGGACUUCCAGACACUGGAAAACUGGAUGCUGCAGACACUGAACGAGGAGCCAGUGACACCAGAGCCGGAAGUGGAACCGCCCAGUGCCCCCGAGCUCAAGCAAGGGCUGUAUGAGCUCUCAGCAAGCAACUUUGAGCUGCACGUUGCACAAGGCGACCACUUUAUCAAGUUCUUCGCUCCGUGGUGUGGUCACUGCAAAGCCCUGGCUCCAACCUGGGAGCAGCUGGCUCUGGGCCUUGAACAUUCCGAAACUGUCAAGAUUGGCAAGGUUGAUUGUACACAGCACUAUGAACUCUGCUCCGGAAACCAGGUUCGUGGCUAUCCCACUCUUCUCUGGUUCCGAGAUGGGAAAAAGGUGGAUCAGUACAAGGGAAAGCGGGAUUUGGAGUCACUGAGGGAGUACGUGGAGUCGCAGCUGCAGCGCACAGAGACUGGAGCGACGGAGACCGUCACGCCCUCAGAGGCCCCGGUGCUGGCAGCUGAGCCCGAGGCUGACAAGGGCACUGUGUUGGCACUCACUGAAAAUAACUUCGAUGACACCAUUGCAGAAGGAAUAACCUUCAUCAAGUUUUAUGCUCCAUGGUGUGGUCAUUGUAAGACUCUGGCUCCUACUUGGGAGGAACUCUCUAAAAAGGAAUUCCCUGGUCUGGCGGGGGUCAAGAUCGCCGAAGUAGACUGCACUGCUGAACGGAAUAUCUGCAGCAAGUAUUCGGUACGAGGCUACCCCACGUUAUUGCUUUUCCGAGGAGGGAAGAAAGUCAGUGAGCACAGUGGAGGCAGAGACCUUGACUCGUUACACCGCUUUGUCCUGAGCCAAGCGAAAGACGAACUUUAGGAACACAGUUGGAGGUCACCUCUCCUGCCCAGCUCCCGCACCCUGCGUUUAGGAGUUCAGUCCCACAGAGGCCACUGGGUUCCCAGUGGUGGCUGUUCAGAAAGCAGAACAUACUAAGCGUGAGGUAUCUUCUUUGUGUGUGUGUUUUCCAAGCCAACACACUCUACAGAUUCUUUAUUAAGUUAAGUUUCUCUAAGUAAAUGUGUAACUCAUGGUCACUGUGUAAACAUUUUCAGUGGCGAUAUAUCCCCUUUGACCUUCUCUUGAUGAAAUUUACAUGGUUUCCUUUGAGACUAAAAUAGCGUUGAGGGAAAUGAAAUUGCUGGACUAUUUGUGGCUCCUGAGUUGAGUGAUUUUGGUGAAAGAAAGCACAUCCAAAGCAUAGUUUACCUGCCCACGAGUUCUGGAAAGGUGGCCUUGUGGCAGUAUUGACGUUCCUCUGAUCUUAAGGUCACAGUUGACUCAAUACUGUGUUGGUCCGUAGCAUGGAGCAGAUUGAAAUGCAAAAACCCACACCUCUGGAAGAUACCUUCACGGCCGCUGCUGGAGCUUCUGUUGCUGUGAAUACUUCUCUCAGUGUGAGAGGUUAGCCGUGAUGAAAGCAGCGUUACUUCUGACCGUGCCUGAGUAAGAGAAUGCUGAUGCCAUAACUUUAUGUGUCGAUACUUGUCAAAUCAGUUACUGUUCAGGGGAUCCUUCUGUUUCUCACGGGGUGAAACAUGUCUUUAGUUCCUCAUGUUAACACGAAGCCAGAGCCCACAUGAACUGUUGGAUGUCUUCCUUAGAAAGGGUAGGCAUGGAAAAUUCCACGAGGCUCAUUCUCAGUAUCUCAUUAACUCAUUGAAAGAUUCCAGUUGUAUUUGUCACCUGGGGUGACAAGACCAGACAGGCUUUCCCAGGCCUGGGUAUCCAGGGAGGCUCUGCAGCCCUGCUGAAGGGCCCUAACUAGAGUUCUAGAGUUUCUGAUUCUGUUUCUCAGUAGUCCUUUUAGAGGCUUGCUAUACUUGGUCUGCUUCAAGGAGGUCGACCUUCUAAUGUAUGAAGAAUGGGAUGCAUUUGAUCUCAAGACCAAAGACAGAUGUCAGUGGGCUGCUCUGGCCCUGGUGUGCACGGCUGUGGCAGCUGUUGAUGCCAGUGUCCUCUAACUCAUGCUGUCCUUGUGAUUAAACACCUCUAUCUCCCUUGGGAAUAAGCACAUACAGGCUUAAGCUCUAAGAUAGAUAGGUGUUUGUCCUUUUACCAUCGAGCUACUUCCCAUAAUAACCACUUUGCAUCCAACACUCUUCACCCACCUCCCAUACGCAAGGGGAUGUGGAUACUUGGCCCAAAGUAACUGGUGGUAGGAAUCUUAGAAACAAGACCACUUAUACUGUCUGUCUGAGGCAGAAGAUAACAGCAGCAUCUCGACCAGCCUCUGCCUUAAAGGAAAUCUUUAUUAAUCACGUAUGGUUCACAGAUAAUUCUUUUUUUAAAAAAACCCAACCUCCUAGAGAAGCACAACUGUCAAGAGUCUUGUACACACAACUUCAGCUUUGCAUCACGAGUCUUGUAUUCCAAGAAAAUCAAAGUGGUACAAUUUGUUUGUUUACACUAUGAUACUUUCUAAAUAAACUCUUUUUUUUUAAAAGUCUGGUCUUUCCUUCAAUGUUACAGCAAAACAGAUAUAAAAUAGACAAUAAAUUAUAGUUUAUAUUUACAAAAAAAGCUGUAAGUGCAAACAGUUGUAGAUUAUAAAUGUAUUAUUUAAUCAGUUUAGUAUGAAAUUGCCUUCCCAGUACAUGAUUGUGAAAAAGACAUUUAGAAAAUAUUCUAAAAUUUAAUCUGAGCCUCACUUUCUACAAGGGAAAUCAUGAUUUCCGUUCAUAAACAGCAUGCUCAUCCCCCUAACACCAUU
rnacentral:lncRNA from 1 species